GACGAACGCUGGCGGCGUGCUUAACACAUGCAAGUCGAACGGAAAGGCCCUGCUUUUGUGGGGUGCUCGAGUGGCGAACGGGUGAGUAACACGUGAGUAACCUGCCCUUGACUUUGGGGUAACUUUAGGAAACUUGGGCUAAUACCGGAUAGGAGCUCCUGCUGCAUGGUGGGGGUUGGAAAGUUUCGGCGGUUGGGGAUGGACUCGCGGCUUAUCAGCUUGUUGGUGGGGUAGUGGCUUACCAAGGCUUUGACGGGUAGCCGGCCUGAGAGGGUGACCGGCCACAUUGGGACUGAGAUACGGCCCAGACUCCUACGGGAGGCAGCAGUGGGGAAUAUUGCACAAUGGGCGGAAGCCUGAUGCAGCAACGCCGCGUGCGGGAUGACGGCCUUCGGGUUGUAAACCGCUUUCGCCUGUGACGAAGCGUGAGUGACGGUAAUGGGUAAAGAAGCACCGGCUAACUACGUG
rnacentral:rRNA from 1 species